rnacentral:tRNA from 1 species
UCCCUGGUGGCUCAGAGGUUUAAAGCAUCUGCCUGCAAUGCAGGAGACCUGGGUUCGAUCCCUGGGUUGGGAA